CCCAACUAUCCCUAUUAAUCAUUACGUCAAUCCUAGAAACCAACAAAAUAGAAUCAAACGUCCUAUUUCAUUAUUCCAUGCUAAUGUAUUCAAGCGCGAGCCUGCUUUAAACACUCUAAUUUUUUCAAAGUAACAGUCCUGAUUCCCCAUGACAUCAAAUUAAUGACAUCAUGAUUUAUCAGAAGGGAGAAAUCAAUAAUACUAGUACGUACCAAUGGCACGACCAGCAUAUUAAUCCCGAAAUUCAACUACGAGCUUUUUAACUGCAACAACUUUAAUAUACGCUAUUGGAGCUGGAAUUACCGCGGCUGCUGGCACCAGACUUGCCCUCCAA
rnacentral:misc_RNA from 1 species